rnacentral:lncRNA from 1 species
CUUCGUCUUCUUUACCUGUUCAUCUGUGUCUUCAUCUUCAACGCUCUUCGACAUCAUUCAACUGCGUCACUAGGCCUGGACCCUUAACCUACAACCUGCAAAGCCGACCCAAUCCGAAUAAGAAUCGGGAAACCCUAUUUUGUGAUAACUCUGUGUGCUCAAACGUGAAGACCCUUCAUUCUCUUAGAGGUUCAAAAGCUUGCCUCCCUUGUCUCUCUGGAAAAAUUGGUGGUCAUCAAUUUGAAGGACAUCCCUUGUUACUGUCUUUCAAGGCAAUCUCUUAACUUUCUCAUAGUUUGAAAAUAAUUUAUUGGAUUUUGCCUCCAGUAUCGUUCCUAUUCAGACUACUCUUCUUGAGAAAAUGGUGGUUAUUUCUUUAGUUUUACUUGGUUCUCCAACUCUUUCUCUAUCGACUUCGAUUUGUGCAGUCC